rnacentral:rRNA from 1 species
UACGAAGGGUGCAAGCGUUACUCGGAAUUACUGGGCGUAAAGCGUGCGUAGGUGGUUUGUUAAGUCUGAUGUGAAAGCCCUGGGCUCAACCUGGGAAUUGCAUUGGAUACUGGCAGGCUAGAGUGCGGUAGAGGGUAGUGGAAUUCCUGGUGUAGCGGUGAAAUGCGUAGAGAUCAGGAAGAACAUCGGUGGCGAAGGCGCUCUGCUGGACCAUAACUGACACUCAGGGACGAAAGCUAGGGGAGCGAAUGGG